GCAGUGGUGGUUCAGGACUAGAAUUCUCACCUUUAAUGAGAGAGACCAGGGUUCGAUUCCUGGACAAUGCA
rnacentral:tRNA from 1 species